rnacentral:rRNA from 1 species
GAUGAACGCUGGCGGCGUGCCUAAUACAUGCAAGUCGAGCGAACAGACGAGGAGCUUGCUCCUCUGACGUUAGCGGCGGACGGGUGAGUAACACGUGGAUAACCUACCUAUAAGACUGGGAUAAUUUCGGGAAACCGGAGCUAAUACCGCAUAAUAUAUUGUACCGCAUGGUUCAAUAGUGAAAGACGGCUUUGCUGUCACUAUUAGAUGGAUCCGCGCCGCAUUAUCUUGUUGGUAAGGGAACGGCUUACCAAGGCAACGAUGCGUAUCCGAGCUGAGAGGGUGGUCCGCCACACUGGAACUUAGACACGGUCCAGGCCCCUACGGGAGGCAGCAGUAGGGAAUCUUCCGCAAAGGGCGGAAGCCUGACGGAGCAACGCCGGGUGAGUGAUGGAGGUCUUCGGAGCGGAAAACUCUGUUAUUAGGGAAAAACAAAUGUGUAAGUAACUAUGCGCGUCUUGACGGUACCUAAUCAGAAAGCCACGGCUAACUACGUG